rnacentral:rRNA from 1 species
UCCGGUUGAUCCUGCCGGACCCCACUGCUAUCGGGGUGGGACUAAGACAUGCUAGUCGUGCGCCUCCAAGCCACGGUGGAGGCGCGGCGCACAGCUCAGUAACACGUGGCUAACCUACCCUUGGGACAGGGACAACCCCGGGAAACUGGGGCUAAUCCCCGAUAGGUGAGGACUCCUGGAAUGGGUCCUCGCUGAAAGGGCGUCUAGACCAUGCUUCUAGACGCUGCCCAAGGAUGGGGCCGCGGCCGAUCAGGUUGUUGGUGAGGUAACGGCUCACCAAGCCUAAGACCGGUACGGGCCGUGAGAGCGGGAGCCCGGAGAUGGACACUGAGACAAGGGUCCAGGCCCUACGGGGCGCAGCAGUCGCGAAACCUCCGCAAUACGCGAAAGCGUGACGGGGCCACCCCGAGUGCCGUCCGCUGAGGACGGCUUUUCCCCAGUGUAGACAGCUGGGGGAAUAAGGGGAGGGCAAGUCGGGUGUCAGCCGCCGCGGUAAUACCCGCUCCCCGAGUGGUGGGGACGCUUAUUGGGCCUAAAGCAUCCGUAGCCGGCUGGACAGGUCCCCUGUUAAAUCCAGCGAUUUAAUCGCUGGACUGCGGGGGAUACUGUCCAGCUAGGGGGCGGGAGAGGCCGGCGGUAUUCCCGGGGUAGGGGUGAAAUCUUAUAAUCCCGGGAGGACCACCAGUGGCGAAGGCUGCCGGCUGGAACGCGCCCGACGGUGAGGGAUGAAAGCUGGGGGAGCGAACCGGAUUAGAUACCCGGGUAGUCCCAGCUGUAAACGAUGCGGGCUAGGUGUUGGCACGGCUACAAGCCGUGUCAGUGCCGCAGGGAAGCCGUUAAGCCCGCCGCCUGGGGAGUACGGCCGCAAGGCUGAAACUUAAAGGAAUUGGCGGGGGAGCACCACAAGGGGUGAAGCUUGCGGUUUAAUUGGAGUCAACGCCGGG